rnacentral:rRNA from 3 species
GCAAGGUUAAAACUCAAAUGAAUUGACGGGGGCCCGCACAAGCGGUGGAGCAUGUGGUUUAAUUCGAUGCAACGCGAAGAACCUUACCUGGUCUUGACAUCCACAGAACUUAGCAGAGAUGCUUUGGUGCCUUCGGGAACUGUGAGACAGGUGCUGCAUGGCUGUCGUCAGCUCGUGUUGUGAAAUGUUGGGUUAAGUCCCGCAACGAGCGCAACCCUUAUCCUUUGUUGCCAG